rnacentral:rRNA from 1 species
AUGUAAUUAAUUCUGUUAAAUGAGAGUUGUUGAGGUUGUUAAGGUUAAGGUAUGAACCAGGAUUAGAUACCCUGUUACACUUUACUUAAAAAUUUAUUACACCUAGGUAGUAAGCAGUUAUGAUCUUGAAACUUAAAGGAUGUUGGCGGUAAUUUAGUCUAGUUAGAGGAACCUGUCCUGUAAUCGAUAAACCACGUAGUAUCUUACUUUAUCUUGAAUUUUUCAGUUUAUAUACCAUCAUUGUUAGAUAACUUUAAGAAAAUUAAGAAGUUAUUAAAAUAAUUUUAAGUUAAUAUAUUAUGAUCAAGGUGUAGCUAAUGAUAAAGUAGAGAUGGGUUACAAUAAUAUUAGUUUAUAACGGAUUUAAAAAAGAAUUUUUUAAAGAAGGAGGAUUUAAAUGUAAAUGUGUUUUAAUAUGGCAUAUUGAUUAUAGCUCUAGAUUAUGUACAC